rnacentral:tRNA from 1 species
GCCCCUGUAGCUCAACGGAUAGAGCAGCGCCCUUACGAAGCGCAAGGUGUGGGUUCAAGUCCCACCAGGGGUGCCA